GGGACUCAGAGGGACUAAUGUCACCAAAAAUACAGCAAGUUCUGAGCCCUGAACAAUAGUGCAGGCUCCCUAUAUAGGCACAUAACUCCUCCCAUUAAUAGCUACACCCACAUAUACCUUUAACCAAUCAAUGAGCAGAAUAUAUACUUGUACAUCUAGUCAAACCACAUGGCCCAUCCAAGACAAAGGAAAUAAGUGCAAUUUCAGUUCCUGCAUUCCUGCACAUGCUCAGUACACUGAUGACCGUAUCCUAGCUACAUGUAGCUAACCAACUGACACAACAUACACAUAUGCCACAUGGAGAUUUUGGCCUACUAAAUUUUAACCAUGCUGGAAUCCCAU
rnacentral:lncRNA from 1 species